ACACGAAUGAACAACGAGAACCGUUGGCCCACAACGAAAGUGAGAUCCUGCGCGUGGCGCUUCAGACCUGUCUCAUGCCAAUCGAUAAACAUAUUCUGAAAAAUCUGAAGACAUUCUGAUGAGUUUAAAGAUGAUGCUGUUAUAAAAAUUUUACAGGGAAGUCGCAAGGUAGUUGGACAGGUGUUGGAUAAUCGUAAUCUUACAUUCUUUUUCAUAAUUUUCAAAGUAAUUUAUAAUAGUACAGUACAAUAUUAAUGAAAUCAAUUAUAUAUUAAACAUCAUUUGUUAUUGUUGUUGUUUUUUGUUUUUUUGUAUGCAUUAUGUUACCAGAUAACAAUACAGAUGAGAUUAGCA
rnacentral:lncRNA from 1 species